rnacentral:rRNA from 1 species
UACGAAGGGGGCUAGCGUUGCUCGGAAUCACUGGGCGUAAAGGGUGCGUAGGCGGGUCUUUAAGUCAGGGGUGAAAUCCUGGAGCUCGACUCCAGAACUGCCUUUGAUACUGAAGAUCUUGAGUUCGGGAGAGGUGAGUGGAACUGCGAGUGUAGAGGUGAAAUUCGUAGAUAUUCGCAGGAACACCAGUGGCGAAGGCGGCUCACUGGCCCGAUACUGACGCUGAGGCACGAAAGCGUGGGAGCAACAGGG